AUUGAACGCUGGCGGCAGGCUUAACACAUGCAAGUCGAGCGGGGGAAGGUAGCUUGCUACCGGACCUAGCGGCGGACGGGUGAGUAAUGCUUAGGAAUCUGCCUAUUAGUGGGGGACAACAUCUCGAAAGGGAUGCUAAUACCGCAUACGUCCUACGGGAGAAAGCAGGGGAUCUUUGGACCCUGCGCUAAUAGAUGAGCCUAAGUCGGAUUAGCUAGUUGGUGGGGUAAAGGCCUACCAAGGCGGCGAUCUGUAGCGGGUCUGAGAGGAUGAGCCGCCACACUGGGACUGAGACACGGCCCAGACUCCUACGGGAGGCAGCAGUGGGGAAUAUUGGACAAUGGGGGGAACCCUGAUCCAGCCAUGCCGCGUGUGUGAAGAAGGCCUUAUGGUUGUAAAGCACUUUAAGCGAGGAGGAGGCUACUUUAGUUAAUACCUAGAGAUAGUGGACGUUACUCGCAGAAUAAGCACCGGCUAACUCUGUGCCAGCCGCCGCCGUAA
rnacentral:rRNA from 1 species